UAAAACUGACUAAUGUAUCGGGGAAGAUAUUUUGGUUAGACUGUUUAAAACACAUUUUUUUUACCAUGUUUAACUCCAGUGACUAAUGAACGGUGAAAAGAAAAGAUGGCUUUGAUAAAGAUUUAGACCUUUGCCCCUUUACCAUAUAAACUCAGAGCCUGGGACAUCAAUGAAAUCCUUAGGAAAGACCGAACUUGAUAUUACUGACUUUUCUAUGGCAAAAAUCCUUAAAGGUCAUCUUCAUACACUAUUAAGAAGCAGAAUUUAAACCCCUUGCAGGUCACCCAUAAUUUAUAAUUAUUUUCUUGGAUGCAAUAGUAAGCACUGAUCCCCUGCAACCUCCAUUGGUGGAAAUGCCAGAAGAACAUUAUUUAACUAAGAAAUGUUGCCAUGAAAAAUAUGUACCUAUCAUGGCUUUCUUAACAUGUUAGGGCUCUCUUGGGUGUUACAUUUUGGCUUUCUAGGUUAGCUACAGUCAUAUUCUGCCAUGGUUCAGUUACUUUCAAACACAUCAUACAAGUCCUAGAUAGAUUCUUCAGAAAAGUACAUAGCAAUACUCAAUUCAUCUGGCAUAGAGGAAAAUUACUAAGAAAGGAUGCUGAUGAGUUGCAUUACUGUACUAGGAAAAGGUAGCUGGAAGCCUAGUUCUCCAGUAUUUUUACAUAUUACCUACUUGCUUAGAGAAAUUCUCUACUUCCCUGGUAUCAAAGAGAUGGGGGCAGUGCAUCCAGAUUGAACAAACCCAAAAUCUGAAAGUCUCCUUGAGUUGGAUCAGGUCUGCAUUGAUGCAGGCAGUGGUGGCACUAAGCAUUCUUGGAUGGCUUAAACUAUAACAUUGACUAUGUAUCUUUUGAGACACUGGGAUGGUAUUUUAGUCUGCAAAUAUUUCUUGCGGUGCAGCACAUUGUGGUGGAUUCUGAAGCAGAGGAAACAACAAUCAUGGUCCUCCUCUCUCUGAUGCUCUUCUGCUGUGCUGACAGGGCGUGAAGCUGCUGAGCAGUCUUCUUCCUUAGGUGCCAUGCCUGAAGUACAGGAAAUAAACUCAUUGGCAAGGAAAGUACUGGACCAGUAGAACAAAUGCUAACCUCACUGAGCUAGGCUCAGGCAGCGUGUGGCAUGCCAAGACCACCACCAUGCUAAUGGUCUGGAACAGAUGAAAAUUUUGAUGAACCAGUUCUUUGAAGGGGGGACUUUGAAUUUGCACGGACUAUGUCUAAACGAGACUGAUAGUCUGGUGGAUACAGUGAACUCCGAAAAACCUGUUCAAGAAACACAACAUGCACCUGUGACUGAAAUUAUUAAUAAAGGAAAAUAUUUUUUAUGAAAAUGAAAGUAAAAUAUUUACAGUACAACUGUUACAUGUAAUCUUUGGUAAAAAACAAUAUGCUUACAUAAAAAUAUUUUUAUCUACAAUGUCUAUCUUUAAUACAUUAUGUAUGUUCAUGUGUGAAAUAUUUGAUAUAUCAAAAAUACCCAGUAACAGUGAAUGUUCCUUCUGGGAGUGUGUCACAAAUAUGCUAUAGCAGAAAUGCACGCUUGUGUAUACUUAAAAUAUAGAAUGGAAUAUUAUGAUGAAGGUAAUCAGCAGUCUUCUGGAGGGGAGAGCAGUUCUAUCAGCCUAUUCCACUAACGAUUUUAUAGUAGUCUACCAGUUAGAGUUAAAAAGCGGUCUUAUUAAUGAGUUAGGGAACCCAUCUGAUAGAAAAAUUUCAUUGUUACUACAUGUUAGGCACAUAUCUGGUGAUCAUCACCAGGGUAGACAGUUGCUGGAAGUGGUAUAGUUUUUCUUUAUCACAUAAUGUUUAAUCAUUAUCAGACAUCAAUCUGAAAAAAAUAAUCAAAUCACAAAAAGGGCCAAAACUCAAAGAAACUCUUUAAUUUUGACCAAAAUUGGCAGAAAGCUUCUAAAUACAAUUGAUAAUGCAAUUAUGUACUCAAAUAGUACUGUUUUGAAAAGUUUGGGAAAUAUUUAGCCCUAGGUGAUAUAUUGUAUGCAUUUUCCCCAUACUUUUUUGCCUUCAGUUAAAGCAAAAGUCUGUAGUCACAUAACAAUAUGAGCUUGUUUGUACCAUUUGAUACAUCAAAAUAUUUGUCAUUUGUAGAAGGGGUUGAUUUGAGAAAAGUUUGUCUGCUAUUUUUAUGAAGUUAUACAGAUAAUUAUAAAACAAAAAUAUUUUUGAUGUUAUCUGCUCAGCUGCAGACAUAAGUCUAAAGCCCUCAUGGUACAUCUGUACUUAUCUUCUUACCAUCAUCGAAUAUGACAAUACAUGUAAACUAUUUAUAGAAGUAAUGACUCUUAGUAGAAGAGCUGUAGAAUGUCUUGUAUGAAUAGAUAAUGUGAAUAAUGAAGCAUAACCAUGCACUCUUAUAUAACCCUACACAUAAUUAUGAGCUACUGAAUGUCUAAUGCAACACUCUUUAACCUCAUAAAAAUAGCCACAGUAAUUUACAGAUAGUUGAAACAUUACUAUUCUCCCUCAGAAUCUGUCUGAAGAGCUCAAUACCCUCUUGCUACACUUGUCACUGUCACAGAACCAUGUAUCGGAGUACACCAAAUCUUCCCUACAGCAUUUCCAUCGCCUUGUCUCACAAGUACUCUCACACUCAUAUUGCACACAGGUGAGGAUAGUUUCUGGAGCAGGUUGCAGCACCAUCAUGUUAGAAACAAGAUGUUCUGGGCUAAAUAUCACCCCUCCAUUUUUGACAGGUGAUACUUAAAAAUACUGAACUGUUGUAUGAUUCGAUCUGUAUUACUGAUAACUUGCAUGUUUCAGCUGCUACCUGAAGGAGACCAUUGUUGGUGGCAAUUUCUCACUUGUUUUAUCCAGAGAUGUUUGCUUCUUAUCACAGUACAAUAAAGAUACCAUGGAGGCAUAGAGGAGGAGAGAGAGGCAGCCUAUCUGAGCUGCACCCUGGGUGCUCAAUUUUUGUCUUCAGUCAUCUUUUUGUACAUGAAAGCUGAAGUAGAAUUACAUCCACUGACAGCAUGAAUGUUUGGCAGUGUAAGACAUUUCCAUUCCCAGCUCCAUAGCCACUCUGUCCAUGGGAAUGAAUCUCUUCUUUUGGCCAACACCAGUUUUGAAAGAGAAUUCAUUUUCCCCAAGAGUAGAGCAAUAUCUUGGGCACAUAGAUGCAACAUCUGGAUCUAAGCUCCACAUUAGCACCCUAUUUACUGAGUGUUUGCUUUGAUGAGCAACGUGCAAGAACAUGUGUGAAUCUGCUUCCUUGUGAUCUGCCUUGAGUUCUGGUAUUGCAGAAUGGUUACCAGAUGCUACUUUUACUGCUUGUGAGAUAUCAUAAAAAUCUAGCAGCAAGGUAUACUUCACAACCAGGUAACAAUCUCUGUUCAUACUUCAUAAUUCAGUCAUAGAGAAGAAAUUCUGUAAUGUCUGAUUUAUUCUUUGAAUUUGAUAUAAUCUUCAAGAAUUGCUUUAGUAAUGAUAUUAACACAGCGGGGUUCCAAACUUCUUGCAUCUGGACAUUCCCCCUGAGGUCUCUCUCACCAGAUGACUGAUUCUUCAUUUGCAUGCUUGUCACCAACAAGAGCAGUGUCUUGACAUUUUAAUCAAAGGGUAAUGUUCAGCAGCUGAUCAGACAGCUCCCCAAAAGUUUUGCACUUGGCAGUAUCAGUGUACACCAUCUGCAGAAGCAUCAUGAGGUCAAUAAAUAGCUAAUGUUGGCUCAUUGGCUGAUAAUAGCUCAAUCAUUGACAGAUUUUAAUCCAGCCAAGAGGGUGUGUUGCUCUUUUGGGUCUUUCUUAGAGAUCCAUCCAAAUUGAAGUAGGAAAGUGGGAGAGGUGCCAACUCAUACUUCAACAAACCCUGGAUAUCAACAUCUCUGGACUUGGCAAGUGCAGUUAGCUUACUGAAUGUCUGACAGUAGUUAUUGCUUGUGCUGUCUGCUUCAGAUGCUCAAUUGGUUUGUUGAGAUUUGAGAUUAUAUUUUUUUAUGGCAUCAAGGUGGUCUACCUCAUCCCUUUGCACUCGACUGGUUACAAACCACUUCAUUUAUUUUAUCCCGUUCCCUCUUAUUAUGCCCAAACUUUCUGCAAUUUCAGGUGGAGCCACAGUAGACAUUGCAAUGUACACAAGUGGCUGUCUGCUGUCUUGGCUAGUUCCAGGUUCAGUACUAAAAGGAUCUGUCAUUCUUUCAGUCACAACUUUUGUAGUAUCUUGGACAUUUUCAUCAGCAGUCAUGCACUCUAUGGUUGUUUCUUUGUGGAGAUCUGCCGUUGAAGGCUGCAUUCCACACAUUUGUUUUGUCAUAGCUAUUAAUGAGUCAAGUAACACUUGGUCAGAGUCUUAGCUUCUGUGCAAAGAUGUGGAUGCUUCCCAUAAUCCUUGUUGAGAGAUUGCUCAAAUGGCCACACCAUGCCAUAUACCACUGAAGGGUCAGGCAGUCCGGUCUACUGCUCCUAGACUGUCAACUAAGGCAUGAUAUGUAUCUGGCUUCUCCUCCUCCAGAAGUCUGUCUGUUGGAUCAUAUUAAAGAAGUUCUGUAUUAAAAUCACAAAUGAGUUUGAUUCCCCAUAGUUUAAAUUCCAGGGUAUUACUAAUUAAGAGGUCUCUUGGUUUUUGGUACUGUUUCUCUCCCUCUAUGUGUGAAACUUGCAAGUUGCUAAUUGCAUUAGUACAUUCUAAGACAGAGUCUGUUCUCAAAGCAAUUCACACAGAGAGAGACUCAAAGCAAUACUCUGUAACAACAGAAACAGCACCCAGAGACUCCCCGCCCUUUUGUUGUAUUAACAAUUGUGAUUAAAACAGAGAUAGAGGAUGUAUGUGGAUGGAUGCUUGGUGUGGAUAAUAACUGAAUGAUCAGGGAGGUGCCAGCCUAAGAAUCCAGUGUCCAUUGGCUGAAGAAGGCAUCAAGUGGAAAUAACCAGAGGACCCCCGGGGGGCAGACUGGAAUCCACCCAACAGCCUCAAGAAUGGGAGAACCAAAGAACAAGAUAACAUCUAGCAGCACGGAGCCGUCAGGAAUGUGCUAUCUGCUGAUUGAUUCAGCAACAGCAUGAUGAAGCAAUUCCCAUAGACUGGCAUAGGAAGAAACUCCUAUGGACUCUAGAAAGUGAGAACUUUGGGGUCUGAUUCUGCAAACCAACUUCCAGGAGCAUCAGAUGAGCAUCUGACAAGGCCCUGCUCCCUCCACAUGUCCAGGCCACCUGGCCAGUGGCUUGGCAUGAGCAACUCUAAGGCUGGUAACUAUGAUGAUAACCUUGCAGAACCUGUGUGUGUGUGUGUAUGAAUGAAUGUGUGAAUAAAUAUGAGAUUGAAUGGAAUGUUAUAGCUAUAACUAACGGUUUACUAUGAUAACAAUCUUGCAGAACCUGUGUGUGUGUGUUUGUAGGAAUGAAUGUGUGAAUAAAUAUGAGAUUGAAUGGAAUGUUAUAGCUAUAACUAACUGCUUACUAUGAUUCUUUCUGUAUUCACAAUAAAUGUGGUAUUUUGCCUUUUUACCUUUAAUAA